ACGAGUCACGACACAGGAGAAACAGCUUUGGUGAGAUGGGACUAUAGGAAUGGAAGCUCCUGUGAGGUUCACAAGAAGGCCAAAGGGCUCUUGCCUUGUGGGCGGCGUGGGACAAGGCUUUGGUCGGUCUAGGCCCAGAGAGUUCCUAAAGGAGCUUUGCUCAAAUAGUUUGCCAGCUUUACCCAAAUGAAAUUCUAAAAGACGCACUUCAGGCAAAAGGGGUAAUUCCUGAUGGAUGGUCUGAAAUGGAAUGAAGAGCAACAUGUGGAUUGUUCAUAUGUGAAGGGAAUGCCUGAUGACUGAGGAUUAACUAGGCAUAAAGAAGAGAAUGGGAGUUUUCAUAUAUAAAAAAUGCUAUACAGGCAGACCAUGGAGAUAUGACAGAUUCAGCUCCAGAUCACAAUAAAGCGGAUAUUGCAAUAAAAUUAUUUACAGAACUCAAGUCCAUCAAUAGAUUCCAGUAGAUGGUGUGGGAGAAAGUUCAAAUGAAGUGAUCAGCUGGAAUAAUCAUAUUAACUUUCUUUGAAUUCAGAGAAGUCACUGAUACAAAGACAUAUCACCUGCAGGUUCCUUCCAUCAAACUGUUCUAUAUUUCUUUCUAUUAUGAAUGAUUUUACAUACUUCAUAGCAUGUACCAACUAUUUCACAAAAACAAUUUUGUUCCAAAAACCCCAGUGAAAAGGACGCAAUAACAAGAAUGUAUCUAUAAGGCUUAAUUUGGAGGUAUUUACAUUGAAAUAUUUUUUUCUUCAUAUUAAAAGACACAAUAGUUUUUAAAAACCCUGAAAAUAUUUUUUAAAAUAUCUCCUCACUUGCAAGAAUUAUUGGUACUUCUCCUUUCUAGUACCCACUCCAGGCUAGUACCUAUAGAGCUAGGAGCACAAAAUGAUCUGGCUCCUGCAGAUAAACUCAAAGACUAACACUUAAAAUAAGCUGUAAUAACAGAAUCAUAAUUUUAUUUUAUCUUUUUAUGUUUUGAACUAUUUCUUUAUUUCCUUUAGUUUUUUUUUAUAUUGAGGUACAUACAAUAAAAUGCACAAGUGUUAGUGUACAGCUUGACGAAUUUUGAUCUGUGUAUGCACUCAUGUAACCAUCACCCAGACCAGGAUGUCACACAUUCACAAUCAGUUUUAGAGCUGGAUUUCUCAACCUCAAACUAUUGUCCCUUGGGAUUCCAUAAUUCUUCAUUGUGGAAGCUGUCCUGUGCCUUGUUAGAUGUUUAUCAGCACCCCUGACCUCUGCUCACUAGGUGCCAGUACUACCCCUCCCUGGUGUGACAACCAAAAAAUGUCUCCAGAGAUUGCCAAAUGUUACCCACAUUGAGAACUACUAGCCUAGGGGGUUUCAUAGAGAGAAUUUAUUCACAAAAAAGUUCA